rnacentral:rRNA from 1 species
CCUACGGGUGGCAGCAGUGAGGAAUAUUGGUCAAUGGGCGGAAGCCUGAACCAGCCAAGUAGCGUGCAGGAUGACGGCCCUACGGGUUGUAAACUGCUUUUAUACGGGAAUAACGCGCCUUACGUGUAGGGCUUUGCAUGUACCGUAUGAAAAAGCAUCGGCUAACUCCGUGCCAGCAGCCGCGGUAAUACGGAGGAUGCGAGCGUUAUCCGGAUUUAUUGGGUUUAAAGGGUGCGUAGGCGGAAGGUUAAGUCAGCGGUCAAAUGUCGGGGCUCAACACCGGCCUGCCGUUGAAACUGGGCUUCUUGAGUGAGCGAGAAGUAUGCGGAAUGCGUGGUGUAGCGGUGAAAUGCAUAGAUAUCACGCAGAACUCCGAUUGCGAAGGCAGCAUACCGGCUCUCUGGUCUGUAACUGACGCUGAGGUUCGAAAGCGUGGGUAGCAAACAGGAUUAGAUACCCGUGUAGUC